rnacentral:rRNA from 1 species
GACGAACGCUGGCGGCGUGCUUAACACAUGCAAGUCGAGCGGUAAGGCCCUUCGGGUACGACGAGCGGCGAACGGGUGAGUAACACGUGGGUGACCUGCCCUCCACUUCGGGAUAAGCCCGGGAAACUGGGUCUAAUACCGGUUAGGACCUCCUCAUGCAUGUGGGGUGGUGGAAAGCUUGUGUCUUUGAUGCUUGCGGUGGGGGAGUGGCCCGCGGUCUAUCAGCUUGUUGGUGGGGUGAGGCCUACCAAGGCGACGACGGAUAGCCGGCCUGAGAGGGUGAUCGGCCACACUGGGACUGAGACACGGCCCAGACUCCUACGGGAGGCAGCAGUGGGGAAUCUUGCGCAAUGGGCGGAAGCCUGACGCAGCAACGCCGC